UUGAACGCUGGCGGCAGGCCUAACCCCUGCAAGUCGAGCGGAUGAAGGGAGCUUGCUCCUGGAUUCAGCGGCGGACGGGUGAGUAAUGCCUAGGAAUCUGCCUGGUAGUGGGGGAUAACGUCCGGAAACGGGCGCUAAUACCGCAUACGUCCUGAGGGAGAAAGUGGGGGAUCUUCGGACCUCACGCUAUCAGAUGAGCCUAGGUCGGAUUAGCUAGUUGGUGGGGUAAAGGCCUACCAAGGCGACGAUCCGUAACUGGUCUGAGAGGAUGAUCAGUCACACUGGAACUGAGACACGGUCCAGACUCCUACGGGAGGCAGCGGUGGGGAAUAUUGGACAAUGGGCGAAAGCCUGAUCCAGCCAUGCCGCGUGUGUGAAGAAGGUCUUCGGAUUGUAAAGCACUUUAAGUUGGGAGGAAGGGCAGUAAGUUAAUACCUUGCUGUUUUGACGUUACCAACAGAAUAAGCACCGGCUAACUUCGUG
rnacentral:rRNA from 1 species